CACGUAGGGGGCAAGCGUUGUUCGGAAUCAUUGGGCGUAAAGGGUGCGCAGGCGGCCGUCCAAGUCUGGUGUGAAAGAUCCCGGCUCAACCGGGGGAACGCGCUGGAAACUGGAUGGCUUGAGUACAGGAGGGGGAGUUGGAAUUCCAGGUGUAGGGGUGAAAUCUGUAGAUAUCUGGAAGAACACCGGUGGCGAAGGCGAACUCCUGGCCAUGUACUGACGCUGAGGCACGAAGGCGUGGGGAGCAAACAGGUGUAGAUACCCUGGUAGUCCACGCAGUAAACGAUGCACACUAGGUGGUGGGUGGUAGCACUCAGUACCGUAGCAAACGCAUUAAGUGUGCCGCCUGGGGAGUAUGCUCGCAAGGGUGAA
rnacentral:rRNA from 1 species